UACGUAGGGGGCUAGCGUUGUCCGGAAUCAUUGGGCGUAAAGCGCGUGUAGGCGGCCCGGUAAGUCCGCUGUGAAAGUCGGGGGCUCAACCCUCGGAUGCCGGUGGAUACUGUCGGGCUCGAGUACGGAAGAGGCGAGUGGAAUUCCUGGUGUAGCGGUGAAAUGCGCAGAUAUCAGGAGGAACACCAAUUGCGAAGGCAGCUCGCUGGGACGUAACUGACGCUGAGACGCGAAAGCCAGGGGAGCAAACGGG
rnacentral:rRNA from 1 species